ensembl:lncRNA
CAGAAAUACUUGAAGGGACAUGAGGAAGAAGAGCAAACAGGGUCAGUAGUGCCAUUUCACUGCUCCAGACUGGCUGUCACCUCAGUCAGCUAAUUUGAUGAUUUUAACGGUGACAUACACAUCUUUUUUGUUGGAUAUUUUAGCUUGGGUGAUCUGAUACAUUAUUUCUAAGUAGUUGAAAAGAAGCUGUAAUUCAUUUUUUUGGAAGAAAUGCUGUGAUAUUUUUAAAUUUUCCCUUGGAUUUGAGGAAGAACUGUACUUCCACGCAUGGCUUCCUGCUAGACCUCGUAUUGUGCCGUUGUUGUGGUCUGCUCUUUGGAUUUGGGUAGUUAAGAUCAAAAGAAGAACUGGAGCCUCUUGCUGAGACCCAGGGAAGGCACUGCUGGCCCAGGGUAACUCCCUGGACACCAAUCAUCUUUACAGCCAAAUAGCUUUUCCUGUCAGAAGUCAAGGCUCUGACAGCUUCAGUGGCUGCCACGGGUUCCUCUGGCUACCCCUGUCUGGGAUUUUGAGGCUUGAGUUUCUGCAAUUUAUAUUCACCACUGUAAAGUCAUCUCUACCACAGGUUCCCAGGGAUCCCUGGGAUGUCUUCACAAAGCACUGUACGCUCUUCCCUUCCAUAUAACUGAAGAAUCAGUUAGGAUGGAAAAGACUCAAAAGAUCGUCCACCCAUAACCAACCUAACACUACUAUGCUCACCACUAAACCAUGUCCCUAAGUGUCACAGGAUUUCAGCUCAAAGCCAAUGUCACAAAAUUUAAUGCAGGUUCUUAUGGAGGAAGAAGCUGAUUUUAUUGUACAAAAGCCUUGAACAGAAUAAUUCUGCCCCUCAGGCUCUCACACUCUCAGCUGUCAAAAUGCAUGCGUUCAGGUGGUCUGGCCAGAGUACAUGUGAAAUUGGAGGAUGAGGGAUCUGGCAUCUCUUUGUUGCCUGUUGUCUGGUUAAAACAAAACAGCUUACGGACAAACCUCAUAUAUACCGUAGGAAACAUCAUCUGCAAUAAGGUAGUUCCUUGGCUUGUUUUUUGCUUACCUCACCUGUCAUAAAUCUUGGAUCAAGUUACUCUCUCUACUGACUUUUCCCCCGUUGGAAAUAUAUAUACUUGAGUCAUGUAUCAGUGGCCUUUUCUUGUUGGUCUAAGAGGAAAAAAAAAAAAAAAAGAAGUAUUGAAGGGUUAUACAUGAUAUUUUGCAUCCAUCUUGCCAUCUUGCUGUUGUGAAGAUUACAGAGUCUUCUGCUGAAGGGUAGUCUGGGCUGUAGGGUAUUGAGAGCUGACCUGGCAGAAAGAACAUUCAUAAUAACUGUAAUGCUGCAUAUUGUUACUAAUUUCUGCAUUGAUUUAUGAGCACUGUCACAGCUCUUCCCGGAUUGCCUGUAAGCCUGAGAGGCAUCUUUGAGGUGAGAUGCUGCUAGUUCGAAAGAAGAAAAUAAAUCUCUGCUGCACUCUCCGGUUGCAUAUGCGUGCACUGCAAAUGUUACACUGGAGGUCUUUAAAAUCAUCACUAGAAGGACAAAGAAAACUUCACAUUGAAAAUGGCGAUUUAUAAGAAGAGUUAAUGAGAUAGAAAAAAACCAGAAGCUUCAUUUCUCCAUUUCCAGUAAAAGGAUGGCCCUUUUAAGACCCAGCACAAAGCCAGGAGAUUUUCACUGACUUAUUUGGGCCAAGCCUCUCUCAUUUUAGUGUAAAAGCUACCUGGUCUGAAGAAAAGGCCAAUAUAUCACAGAAUAUUCCUCAAUUCAGACUUUUUUUUUUUCCUCAUUAUUAUUCACUUGAGGAACAACUUUUGGUCCGGCUUUGUUAAGCUGUUGACAGAGAAAUCAGUCACUCCUCAGAAAUAAAGGAAUGGAAAUGAGUUAUUUCUAUUUUCUCCCAGUGUUUAUGUGAGCUUACCCUUAAGCACUUACCAGAAUGAUAGCUUUUCAUCUAACACUUUAAUUCUGUACGCCUUUUCCCUGGGACUCGGAAAAUAAAAUAAUAGGGGCACUUAAUGAAAGGAAAAAAGGAAGCACUGGAGAGGAAACACUCCAGG